rnacentral:rRNA from 1 species
GAGCGAACAGGAUUAGAUACCCUGGUAGUCCAUGCCGUAAACGUUGGGCACUAGGUGUGGGGGACAUUCCACGUUUUCCGCGCCGUAGCUAACGCAUUAAGUGCCCCGCCUGGGGAGUACGGCCGCAAGGCUAAAACUCAAAGAAAUUGACGGGGGCCCGCACAAGCGGCGGAGCAUGCGGAUUAAUUCGAUGCAACGCGAAGAACCUUACCAAGGCUUGACAUAUACUGGACUCCCCUAGAGAUAGGGUUUCCCUUCGGGGCUGGUAUACAGGUGGUGCAUGGUUGUCGUCAGCUCGUGUCGUGAGAUGUUGGGUUAAGUCCCGCAACGAGCGCAACCCUCGUUCUAUGUUGCCAGCACGUGAUGGUGGGGACUCAUAGGAGACUGCCGGGGUCAACUCGGAGGAAGGUGGGGAUGACGUCAAAUCAUCAUGCCCCUUAUGUCUUGGGCUUCACGCAUGCUACAAUGGCCGGUACAAAGGGUUGCGAUACUGUGAGGUUGAGCUAAUCCCAAAAAGCCGGUCUCAGUUCGGAUUGGGGUCUGCAACUCGACCCCAUGAAGUCGGAGUCGCUAGUAAUCGCAGAUCAGCAACGCUGCGGUGAAUACGUUCCCGGGCCUUGUACACACCGCCCGUCAAGUCACGAAAGUUGGUAACACCCG